GUGCAGGUUAUCUACGGACUGGCUGUUGCAGUGCUUGUUUGUCGUUCCCCCUGCAGAAAUAAACAUGAUUCCUUCUAUCCCUGUCUGUUUGCAUCCUACAACUAACAGGGACGCUGGUCUCAGACAA
rnacentral:snoRNA from 1 species